AGGCCGGUAGUGUAGUGGAUAACACGUCACGAUUCGAAGAAUGUGGAAAUAGUGAAAAUGAAAGGUUCGACUCCCUCCCGAUUUA
rnacentral:tRNA from 1 species